rnacentral:rRNA from 1 species
UACGAAGGGGGCUAGCGUUGCUCGGAAUCACUGGGCGUAAAGCGCACGUAGGCGGAUUGCUAAGUCAGGGGUGAAAUCCUGGAGCUCAACUCCAGAACUGCCUUUGAUACUGAAGAUCUUGAGUUCGGGGAGAGGUGAGUGGAACUGCGAGUGUAGAGGUGAAAUUCGUAGAUAUUCGCAAAGAACACCAGUGGCGAAGGCGGCUCACUGGCCCGAUACUGACGCUGAGGCACGAAAGCGUGGGGAGCAA